rnacentral:rRNA from 1 species
GACGAACGCUGGCGGCGUGCUUAACACAUGCAAGUCGAACGGAAAGGCCCUGCUUUUGUGGGGUGCUCGAGUGGCGAACGGGUGGGUAACACGUGAGUAACCUGCCCUUGACUUUGGGAUAACUUCAGGAAACUGGGGCUAAUACCGGAUAGGAGCUCCUGCUGCAUGGUGGGGGUUGGAAAGUUUCGGCGGUUGGGGAUGGACUCGCGGAUUAUCAGCUUGUUGGUGGGGUAGUGGCUUACCAAGGCUUUGACGGGUAGCCGGCCUGAGAGGGUGACCGGCCACAUUGGGACUGAGAUACGGCCCAGACUCCUACGGGAGGCAGCAGUGGGGAAUAUUGCACAAUGGGCGGAAGCCUGAUGCAGCAACGCCGCGUGCGGGAUGACGGCCUUCGGGUUGUAAACCGCUUUCGCCUGUGACGAAGCGUGAGUGACGGUAAUGGGUAAAGAAGCACCGGCUAACUACGUG